CCUACGGGAGGCAGCAGUGAGGAAUAUUGGUCAAUGGGCGGAAGCCUGAACCAGCCAAGUCGCGUGAGGGAGUAAGGCCCUACGGGUCGUAAACCUCUUUUGCCGGGGAGCAGUGCCCAGCUCGUGAGCUGGGAGGGAGCGUACCCGGAGAAAAAGCAUCGGCUAACUCCGUGCCAGCAGCCGCGGUAAUACGUAGGUCCCGAGCGUUGUCCGGAUUUAUUGGGCGAAAAGCGAGCGCAGUCGGUUAGAUAAGUCUGAAGUUACAGGCUGUGGCUUAACCAUAGUACGCUUUGGAAACUGUUUAACUUGAGUGCAAGAGGGGAGAGUGGAAUUCCAUGUGUAGCGGUGAAAUGCGUAGAUAUAUGGAGGAACACCGGUGGCGAAAGCGGCUCUCUGGCUUGUAACUGACGCUGAGGCUCGAAAGCGUGGGGAGCAAACAGGAUUAGAUACCCCUGUAGUC
rnacentral:rRNA from 1 species